GUGUUUACACGGAAAUAUUUUUUAGUGGCGGACGGGUGAGUAAUACGUAGGUAACCUGCCUCAGAGCGGGGGAUAACUAAAAGAAAUUUUAGCUAAUACCCCAUAAGACCACACUACCACAUGGUAGAGAGGUAAAAGGAGAAAUCCACUUUGAGAUGGACCUACGGCUGAUUAGUUAGUUGGAGUGGUAAUGGCACACCAAGACAAUGAUCAGUAGCCGGGCUGAGAGGCUGGCCGGCCACAUUGGGACUGAGACACGGCCCAGACUCCUACGGGAGGCAGCAGUUGGGAAUAUUGGACAAUGGGGGAAACCCUGAUCCAGUGACGCCGCGUGAAGGAAGAAGGUCUUCGGAUUGUAAACUUAUUUUGUCAGGGAAGAAAAAAAUGACAGUACCUGAAGAAAAAGCACCGGCUAACUAUGUGCCAGCAGCCGCGGUAAUACAUAGGGUGCAAGCGUUAUCCGGAUUUACUGGGUGUAAAGGGCGAGUAGACGGUAAUGUAAGUCAGUUGUGAAAACUAGGGGCUCAACCCCAAGACUGCAACUGAAACUACAUAACUAG
rnacentral:rRNA from 1 species